AGUGAACGCUGGCGGCGUGCUUAACACAUGCAAGUCGAACGAGAACGGAUUAUAGCUUGCUAUAAUUGUCAGCUAAGUGGCGCACGGGUGAGUAAUGUAUAGGUAAUGUGCCUCUUACUAAGGGAUAACAAAUGGAAACGUUUGCUAAUACCUUAUACUCCUUAUUAACAGAAGUUAAUAAGGGAAAGAUUUAUUGGUAAGAGAUUAGCCUGUAUUGUAUCAGUUAGUUGGUGGGGUAAUGGCUUACCAAGACUAUGACACAUAACUGGUUUGAGAGGAUGAUCAGUCACACUGGAACUGAGACACGGUCCAGACUCCUACGGGAGGCAGCAGUGGGGAAUAUUGCACAAUGGACGAAAGUCUGAUGCAGCAACGCCGCGUGGAGGAUGACACAUUUCGGUGCGUAAACUCCUUUUAUAUGAGAAGAUAAUGACGGUAUUAUAUGAAUAAGCACCGGCUAACUCCGUGCCAGCCGCCGCUGUAAUAC
rnacentral:rRNA from 1 species